rnacentral:rRNA from 1 species
AGCAGCCGCGGUAAUUCCAGCUCCAAUAGCGUAUAUUAAAGUUGUUGCAGUUAAAAAGCUCGUAGUUGAAUUUCGGGGUUAGUAGGUUGGUCAUGCCUCUGGUAUGUACUGGUCUCACUGAUUCCUCCUUCCUGAUGAACCUUAAUGCCAUUAAUUUGGUGUUUUGGGGAAUUUGGACUGUUACUUUGAAAAAAUUAGAGUGUUUAAAGCAAGCUAACGCUUGAAUACAUUAGCAUGGAAUAAUGAAUUAGGACGUUCGAUCCUAUUUUGUUGGUUUCUAGGAUUGACGUAAUGAUUAAUAGGGAUAGUUGGGGGCAUUAGUAUUCAAUUGUCAGAGGUGAAAUUCUUGGAUUUAUUGAAGACUAACUACUGCGAAAGCAUUUGCCAAGGAUGUUUUCAUUAAUCAAGAACGAAAGUUAGGGGAUCGAAGACGAUCAGAUACCGUCGUAGUCUUAACCAUAAACUAUGCCGACUAGGGAUCGGAUGAUGUUAAUUUUUUAAUGACUCA